CGUAGGGUGCAAGCGUUAAUCGGAAUUACUGGGCGUAAAGCGUGCGCAGGCGGUUUUGUAAGACAGAGGUGAAAUCCCCGGGCUCAACCUGGGAACUGCCUUUGUGACUGCAAGGCUUGAGUGCGGCAGAGGGGGAUGGAAUUCCGCGUGUAGCAGUGAAAUGCGUAGAUAUGCGGAGGAACACCGAUGGCGAAGGCAAUCCCCUGGACCUGUACUGACGCUCAUGCACGAAAGCGUGGGGAGCAAACAGGAUUAGAUACCCUGGUAGUCCACGCCCUAAACGAUGUCAACUGGUUGUUGGGUCUUUACUGACUCAGUAACGAAGCUAACGCGUGAAGUUGACCGCCUGGGGAGUACGGCCGCAAGGUUG
rnacentral:rRNA from 1 species